UGGCAGACAGAAGGGCAGGGACCAGGU
rnacentral:piRNA from 1 species